UUGGAGGAUGUUUCCCCUGAGAUAUUCAACUCUUGUGCUGUGACACGUGCUAUGAGUAAAACAGCAUUAACCUCUGUUCCUUUGUCUCCAACAGAAAUUUCUGAGGGUAAAACAGUCGAAAUUCCCUCUUCCCUCUCUGUUUCCCGUGAUGAGUUGAUAAGGGGCAGGUGGCUGAUCCUUCUCUCAGCGCCAGGGUUGCUGGUGGAAACUGGUGGAUGAGGAGGUUGUGUGGAGUGGACUUGAAACAUGGAGAUGGCAGGACUGGAUCAAAGCUGUUGGAGUUCUGUUUUUCUUUUGUUUUUGUUUGUUUUUGUUUUUUUUUAAGGGGGGGGUGUGUGACGUGCAUGUCCCCUGAUUGGGUGUUAGGGGGUGGGGCUACAGACCUAAUCAAUAUAUGCACCUGUGUAGGUGUGCAGAGGGAGGCCUUUCUUUUGUUCUGUUUGCUGCAGGCAGCUCAGAUUUCUGGGCCUGCUUGGUUUGGUUCUGUUUGACAUUAUGCUUUAGUUGUUUUUUGUUGAUACGUAGGUUUUCUUUGGGCCGCCUUUUUGUUUAUAAAUGUCUGGACAUGAACCUUUUUCUAAUUUCUUCAUUAAAUUUAUAUUUUUUGCCAUUUAAA